rnacentral:rRNA from 1 species
CAGUCGGCACGGUAAUACAGAGGGUGCGAGCGUUAAUCGGAUUUACUGGGCGUAAAGCGUGCGUAGGCGGCUUUUUAAGUCGGAUGUGAAAUCCCUGAGCUUAACUUAGGAAUUGCAUUCGAUACUGGGAAGCUAGAGUAUGGGAGAGGAUGGUAGAAUUCCAGGUGUAGCGGUGAAAUGCGUAGAGAUCUGGAGGAAUACCGAUGGCGAAGGCAGCCAUCUGGCCUAAUACUGACGCUGAGGUACGAAAGCAUGGGGAGCAAACAGGAUUAGAUACCCCCGUAGUCCCUGUCUCUUAUAA